CCUAGAUGGACCUGGCACCCAGACCACUUCAUUGAGCUGAAGUGGUCUGGGUGCCUAUAGUGGUGCUUUAAGCAAUUUCAGCUUUCAGGUCAUUUUUGUGUAAAUUGAGUCAUCUUCAUUCCCUUUAAUGCAGGUUGCCAUCUACUUCAUUUCUUCUCUGGCCAUAUUAAAUCCUAUGCUAUCAACCCAUUCCAGUAGGUAUGAUAGUAAAGUUCGGCCAAGUCUUUAUCCAUCCGUUCAACAUCAUGACUCUAUAAUUAUACACUUAGUGGCAAGUAUAAAUUAUCUGACAUGAAGGGGCAUGGAUAUCAGCUCAGACAUCAUAGAACCCCAAGCGAUCACCAUUAUAGUAGUUACAAAAAG